rnacentral:rRNA from 1 species
GAUGAACGCUGGCGGCGUGCUUAACACAUGCAAGUCGAACGAUGAAGCCCAGCUUUGUUGUUGUGUUUGUGUCGAGCGGGUGAGUAACACGUGAGUAAACUGCCCUUAACUCUGUGGUAUACCUGGGGAACUGGGCCUAUUACCCGAGAUACGCGUCCCGCGGGCGUCUUGUGUUGGUAAAAUUUAUCGGUUUUGGAUGGACUCGCGGCCUAUCAGCUUGUUUGUGAGGUAAUGGCUCACCAAGGGGACGACGGGUGUCCGGCCUGAGAGGGUGACCGGCCACACUGGGACUGAGACACGGCCCAGACUCCUCCGGGAGGCAGCAGUGGGGAAUAUUGCACAAUGGGCGCAAGCCUGAUGCAGCGACGCCGCGUGAGGGAUGACGGCCUUCGGGUUGUAAACCUCUUUCAGUAGGGAAGAAGCGAAAGUGACGGUACCUGCAGAAGAAGCGCCGGCUAACUACGUG